GUUUCACUUAAACAUUGCUAUGGUUUGAAUAGGUCUCUUCCAAAAUUCAGGUGUUACCAAUGUGAUAAUGCUAAAAUGUGGAGCCCUUAAGAGGUGAUUAAGCCAUGAAAACUUUCUUUGAAUGGGAUUAAGGACUUAGAGUCUUCUGGCAGCUUUAACCUCACUUGACCUUCCGCCUUCCACCAUGUAAAGACACAGCAUUCUUCCCUUCUGGAAUAUGCAGCAACAAGGUGCCAUAUUGGAAGCAGAGAGUAGCUCUCACAAGACAACCAAAUCUGUGGGUGUCUUGACCUUGAACAUCCCAGCCUCCAGAACUAUGACAAAUAAAUUUCUGUUCUUUAUAUACUGUACAGUCUGUGGUAUUCUGCUACAGCAACACAAAACUGAGUAAAACAGAAAUAGUUCAAAUGUAUUUUUAAAAUUGAAUGAAUUACUUAAGAAUAUGUUUGGUUUUGCAUCUUUUUGAGCACAAUGUUGUCACGUGUAUGUAAAAAUGCAGUUUGUAAUUCCUCAUAAUCUUCUUUCAUGUGUCAAUAUAAAAGAUGUAUUUAUUUUCCUUUUGAUAGACAUUUAAAUUGAUGCUAUGACAGCUCUUGUUAAUUUUUACUGGUGAAUUUAAAAAUGGGUUAAUUGGAAUGUCAUUUCAGGUUCUCCAGUCAGCAGACACUGAAAUGCCUACAUGACUAAGAGAUUUUUGUGGGGGUAAUAAGGGUGCCUGUUGAAAGCAAAGGGGAGAAAGCAGAAUUGGGCAGGAAAAGCCUUCAGACUUCCAGGUAUAUCUAUGAAAGUCUAGGCCAACCCAGUGGGGAGAUUUGAAGCUGGGAUUUACCAUUUGAGAGACCCUGUGUUGGGCAGAAAUAGUUAAGGUGCCGUAAAUGGAAGUUGUCAGCUACUGCACUCCUUGCAACUGAAAUGCAAGUUAUUUUGAAGUGCAAGUGAUAAAGUGUACCCAUAUGGCUGCCAAAAUGUGCCAGCAGGAUAAUCAAAAAAAUUUUUAUUUUUUUAAAUUUUUUUAUUUUUUUGAGACGGAGUCUCACUCUGUGGCCCAAGCUGGAGUGCAGUGGUGUGAUCUCGGCUCACUGGAAGCUCCGCCUCCCAGGUUCACACCAUUCUCCCGCCUCAGCCUCCCCCAGUAGCUGGGGACUACAGGUGCAUGCCAUCACACCUGGCUAAUUUUUUUCUGUAUUUUUAGUAGAGGCGGGGUUUCACCGUGUUAACCAGGAUCAUCUGGGUCUCCCGACCUCGUGAUCCACCCGCCUUGGCCUCCAAAAGUGCUGGGAUUAAAGGCUUAAACCACCGUGCCUGGCCUUAGGAUAAUCAAAUUUUUAAUUUUAUAAGGUAAUACUAAUUACUUUCUAAAUUAGUUGUACCAAUUUAUGUACUUACAAGCAGAAUGUAAGAUUUUCCACUGGCCCACACCUUUUCCAAUAUUAUAGAAAUUUAGACUUCCUAAGUUUAGAAACAUGUACAAAACUUUUUAUAUUAUUGUGUUAAUAAUAGCAAAAAUCUAAACAUAACCUAAAUGUCUAUCAACAAUAAAAUGAAUAAGUUGCAGUUAUGAUCAUACAAUAGGCUCUUAUGCAGCUCCACCUAUCAAUUUAGAUAAACCUCAGAAAACAUAAUAAUGUGUGAAAGAAGCAAGUCACAAAAAUGUAUACAGUAUGAUUCCAAUGUUAUAAAGGUCAUAAACAGACAAAAUGAAACAAUAUUUUGUUUAGGAACACAUACAUAGGUGUUAAAGCUAAAAUGAAAAGAAAAUGAAUGAUUAAUUUUACAUUCAGAAUGUAUCUGUUGAGAAGGAAAGAACACAUAGGGUAUUUAUGGAGAUAAAUAUAUUCUAUUUAUAUUACUUAGAUUGAGUGUUUGCUUCAUGAUUGUAUAUGGGCUCAUAUGUUCAUUUGUACAUAUUCUUCCAAACAAUUGUUUAAAUAAUGUUGUAUCUCACAACUGAAAAUAUUUUCAACAAAAGAAAAAGUGGUCCAUACUCGCUGCUUCCUAAAUAUUAAUGUAGCAGGAAAUAGUUCACAUUAAGAACUAGUGUUUCCAAAGAUUACAAAAGGCUUGGAAGGACUUGGAUAGCAGAUUUUAUGAGCACACAAGUCCUAAGACUCAAGCAGGCCUUUCAGGCAGUGCUUCCCUAAAUUUUAUUUGUUUACAGAUCACGUAGAGAUUUUGUUAAAAUGUAGAUUCAGCGACUCUGCCUCCUCUCACCCUCCAUCCUCCACCUUCUGGUAGCCCCCAGUAUCUGUUGUUCCCCUUUUUGUGUCCACCUCUUCUUGUCAUUUAUUUCCCACUUUAAGUGAGAACAUGCAGUAUUUGGUUUUCUGUUACUGCAUUAGUUUGCUAAAGAUAAUGGCCUCCUAUUGGGUACUAGGCUUAGUACCUGAGUGAUAAAAUAAUCUGUACAUCAAACCCCCAGGACAUGAGUUUCCCUAUAUAACAAACCUGCACGUGUAUCCCUGAACCUAAAAUAAAAGUUUAAAAAAAUGUAGAUUCUGAUUCAGCAGGUCUGAGGUGAAGCCUGAGACAUUUCAUUUCUAACAUGCUCCCAGGUGAUGCAGAUGGAUCCUACUAGUUUUUGAACCACAUUUUGUGUUGCAGUGAUUUAGAGCACUUGCUAUAGAAACAGUACACAGGUGGGUUGAAGAGCGAAAUCAAUGUUUAUCCUUUACUAAGGAAAUCACAAUGGUAAUCGAGAUGAAAGGACAGAAAUAAAAACAAAUGAAUUAGGAAUUCGAAUAAACUACAAUAAUGACAGAAUUAAAGGAACGUACUUUAAUCCACUGGGAAACAUUUAGGGAAACAUUUAUAGUAGUUCCUUGAAGCAAGUUGUCAAAGGGAGGCAGAAAGCAAUCUAAUCUGGGCAUUUGGAGAGUUGGUUAGUUUCCUUAAUGUUAAAUCCCUUUGGGUUUUUCCCCAAGCCCUGCAAUACUAAUAUCUGUGAGCUCACCAAUGAAAAACAUGAUUGGAGGGGCAUUUUAAUAGCAAUAUGCUCAUUGGAAAAGAUUAUUCAAAUAAAAGGAAAAGAAGCCUGUCUGAAAUAAAGAGUUCACCGUACAAAAUAAGUUUGAAAGAAAAAAAAUCAACAUAUGUACAAAAAUUAACAAACAAAAUAUCUGAAAAACACUAUUAAAAUUAUUAGUGAGACCUUCUCCUAUGCCACUAUAAAACAUAAAACAAUAAUUAACUUCAGUUGAUAUUCUAAUCAUCUCAGAUUUUGAAUUCGUGAGGACUGCAUUAAUACAAUUUAAGCAGUGACGUGCUAGUAAAUGCUUAACAAUCAGGUCUCCCAAGAAAAGUAGAUAGAUGAUGGUAGAUAGAUAGGUAGAUAAGUAGAUAGAUAGAUAGAUAGAUAGAUAGGGUAGAUAGAUGAUAGAGAAAUAAAUGUUAGAGUGAUAAACAGAAAUUUAGAUAUAGAAAUAUAGAUAUGUAAACAUUAUGAAUGUUACAUGUAAACAUUUAUUAUGAAUGCUACUAAAGAUUUAUAAAGGAUGUAUAAUACAUAAUUUAAAAAUAAUCAGGUGUACAUUACUCUGUAUUGUAAAUUCCUUUUAUUAAAUUCAUUUUCCGGCAAUGCUUUUUUUUUUUUUAAUUUUUGCUAGAUCCUUGUAUUUAUUGCCCUAUUUUGGUUGCAAGUGACUAAUGAGUAUAGCUCUGGCAUGAAUGUUGAUGGAUGUUUCAGUUUCACUUUAUUAAAGAAAAAUAACAAAAAUAUUUUGGAGUUCACUUAUUUGUUGAUUAUUUUGCUGAAUCAAAUAAUACUUUUAGAAAUCUAGAAGAAUAUUCCUCAUUUUUGUGCUAUUCAUCCAAAAAUAAGCUACAAGCACAACACAUUCCUAAGUUUAAUCUGCAUUAUUAACUUUUCUCCUUCACUUUCUUAAAUCUAAACAAUUAGCAAGUUCUGAUCUAUAGUGUUUCUGGUUUCCAUGAUGCAGGUACUCCUACCAUGACCAAAUCUCAGCUACCAGUGUGAUGUCGUUAAUAAGGGAGUUGGGAAAAGAUUUAUAUUAUAUAGAAUUUUCACUCUAAAGACAAAAUAGAAAUAAAAGAUUUCAGGGCCUAGAUGAUAAUAAAAGGUAGUACAAUAAUUAAAAAGCGAUGUUUUGAGUAUUUAACUUUUCAAACAUCAUUACAUAUAUUUUGCUAUAACUACAUAAAAUACAUAUAAAAACAAUGAAAUGUAAUUUGACAAAAUAAUGGUAGUUAUAUUAGCGUGGCAUUUUUUCUUUCUUUUUAAGUUUUCUGUAAUAUGGUUUGUUGCCUUUUUAAAAAUAAACUUAGAAUUUUAUAACAAUUUUAGAUUUAGCAAAAAAUUGUGAAGAUAAUAAAGAAAACUGCUACAUACCCAACACCAAGUUUCC
rnacentral:lncRNA from 10 species